UUAACNCAUGCAAGUCGAACGGUAACAGGAAGGAAGCUUGCUUUCUUUGCUGACGAGUGGCGGACGGGUGAGUAAUGCUUGGGAAUCUGGCUUAUGGAGGGGGAUAACUACUGGAAACGGUAGCUAAUACCGCGUAAUGUNUACGGACUAAAGGGGGCGAAAGCUCUUGCCAUAAGAUGAGCCCAAGUGGGAUUAGGUAGUUGGUGAGGUAACGGCUCACCAAGCCGUCGAUCUCUAGCUGGUCUGAGAGGAUGACCAGCCACACUGGAACUGAGACACGGUCCAGACUCCUACGGGAGGCAGCAGUGGGGAAUAUUGCACAAUGGGGGAAACCCUGAUGCAGCCAUGCCGCGUGAAUGAAGAAGGCCUUCGGGUUGUAAAGUUCUUUCGGUGAUGAGGAAGGUGUGAUGGUUAAUACCCAUGACAAUUGACGUUAGUCACAGAAGAAGCACCGGCUAACUCCGUGCCAGCAGCCGCGGUAAUACGGAGGGUGCAAGCGUUAAUCGGAAUAACUGGGCGUAAAGGGCACGCAGGCGGUUGUUUAAGUGAGGUGUGAAAGCCCUGGGCUCAACCUGGGAAUUGCAUUUCAGACUGGACAACUAGAGUACUUUAGGGAGGGGUAGAAUUCCACGUGUAGCGGUGA
rnacentral:rRNA from 1 species